CAAAAUAGGGAAAAUUUAUAGAGGGAGAGGAUGGAGAAGUACAAGGAACAGAAGGUUCAGCCAGGAGAAGAUAUUCUUUGACGCCGAUGAGGAUCAAUUAGGAGGACAUACUGUUUUGCAUAUAUGUAGACGUAGAGUUGCUUAUGGAAAUGAAAACCAGAGGCACCUCUUGGUGACCUCUUACCAGAUUGGAGUACAUCAUUGGCGUAUGAGCUUAAAAGAGGGCAUCGUUGGUCUUCCUAAUGUCGGAAAAUCCACCCUCUUCAACGUUGUUGUUGAGAAUGGAAAGGCUCAAGUUGUUCCUGAACAUUAUGCCGCAUGUGAAACAAGUGGUGAAUCUUGGGUCUGAAUUUCAAUCUAGACUGGUUGCAAUUCGCUUUCGCCACUCACGUAAAAUCGUCCUCUUGGGUACUGGUUUUCUCUUUUAAUUUCCUGUAUUUUGUUUGAUGAUUUGCUUUUGUGAGAGUGAAUUGCUUAGUGAGAAUGAAAUGGG
rnacentral:misc_RNA from 1 species